rnacentral:rRNA from 1 species
CCUACGGGAGGCAGCAGUGAGGAAUAUUGGUCAAUGGGCGUAAGCCUGAACCAGCCAAGUCGCGUGAGGGAUGAAGGUUCUAUGGAUCGUAAAUCUCUUUUAUAAGGGAAUAAAGUGUGGGACGUGUCCCGUUUUGUAUGUACCUUAUGAAUAAGAAUCGGCUAACGCCGUGCCAGCAGCCGCGGUAAUACGGAGGAUCCGAGCGUUAUCUGGAUUUGUUGGGUUGAAAGGGGGCGUAGGCGGCCUUUUAAGUCAGCGGUGAAAGGCUGUGGCCCAACCAGAGAAUUGCCGUUGAAACUGGGAGGCUUGAGUGUGUUUGAGGCAGGCGGAAUGCGUGGUGUAGCGGUGAAAUGCGUAGA